rnacentral:rRNA from 1 species
CAGUAGCCGCGGGAAUACGGAGGGCGCGAGCGUUACCCGGAUUUACUGGGCGUAAAGGGCGUGUAGGCGGCCUGGGGCGUCCCAUGUGAAAGGCCACGGCUCAACCGUGGAGGAGCGUGGGAUACGCUCAGGCUAGAGGGUGGGAGAGGGUGGUGGAAUUCCCGGAGUAGCGGUGAAAUGCGCAGAUACCGGGAGGAACGCCGAUGGCGAAGGCAGCCACCUGGUCCACUUCUGACGCUGAGGCGCGAAAGCGUGGGGAGCAAACCGGAUUAGAUACCCCAGUAGUCCCUGUCUCUUAUAC